CGCACCUUGCGCUCCUUGGUAUUCCGAGGAGCAUGCCUGUUUGAGUGUCAUUAAAUUCUCAACCACGAGACGUUCGAAAGGACGGCUUCGUCGGCUUGGAUCUUGGAGUGUGCUGGAACCGUCUUCGGGCGAACGUCAGCUCCUCUUUAAAUGCAUUAGCUGGAACCUCUCGUGGACCAGACUACGGUGUGAUAAUUAUCUACGCUGUUUUCUCGUGAAGCGCUUCGUUAUGGGGUUCUGCUUCCAACCGUCCGCAAGGACAGUAUAGGAGGUCCUUCACUGGAUCGCCUCAUUGACAUUUUGACCUCAAAUCAGGUAGGACUACCCGCUGAACUUAA
rnacentral:misc_RNA from 1 species